CCCAUACGGGGCAUUGAAGCAAGUCGGCCUCCGUUCUCACGAAUAUGAUAGCGCUCAGACAUUGCAUCUCCAAUCGCCGUCUGUCCGGGAAAAAUAUUGCGGAACCCGAAGAAGUUGAUCGGCCAAAUGCGAAUCUCGCUGAAAUCUGUUUGAAAAAGUUUGUAAAAGUCAGGAAACGAGCCGAGUUUACUUGGAAUGCAAAAAAUUAAUGCGAAAGCGGACAAAUCAGAUUCAACGGAGCGAUAGCACAGGUAUGAUAACUCUGGACUAUUUCUGAACAAAUUCAUUUCAAUCGUCGGACGACUAAGACGAUCGUUUUCAACGAGAGAGCACCAGAAUUCCAAAGCAGAUGUUCCUUGCAGCAAUAUCGAAGAUAAGAAGAUAUAAUUGACGUAAUGAUGCAACAUUUACGUAACAGCUGAAUAUUCCGCGCAACGGUGGCGGCAAAAUUCCCUCAUUUACGAAAUAGAAUACAACUUAGAUACAGAUUGGAGAAUUCGCUUCUGGAUCGGCUUCGGAGAUAGGCCCGGCGGUUCCCCCUCGAGCGUUGCCUCGCGCAGCACAGUUACCGAAGAAGAAAAGGGGAGCGAGAACGCGCCGAACGGGGGAAAACGUUACGACAUCGCAUCGGUCGCGGCCCGCGAAACGCCACGCUCUCGUACAAUGGGAUACGUUGAAAUUCCGACUCGCGAAAAAUCAGCGAGGUCGCUUUCCCGACCGACAAGCUCGGCGCUCGUGACGAAUCGCCGAGAGGCACUUGUACUCUCGCGAACAAGCGUCAAAUCAAACAUCUGUACGCUGCGAAAAGAAAAAUUGCAAUUAUGCUGGCCGUCAUUACUGCUUCGGAGUGUACGUGCGGCCGCAAACCGAGAACCGCGAAGAGGAUAACAGUUUGUCCGUAUAAGUCCUGAAGAAGCCUUGACUUCGCGACUGGUUUGAAGCUAACUUCGCGAACUGUAUCGUUCGUUCGGGCGGUGCGGCGAGCGAGCAGAACUCACUUUCACAUCGCUCGCUCGCUCGCUCGCUCGCUCGAUCGUUCUCCUUCCUCGCGGCUUCCAGCAGGAAUGUAUUGCACGUAAGCAAAUGUCGCGUUCGCGCGCGCGGUCGGUGAGCUCGACGACGAUGACAAUAACGUUGCCAUCCACCGACGCACUGCCGUCGAAAUGAUACUUUUACCCACCAUCGCGCGAUAUUUAUUUCACAUUCGUGUUUUUUUUUUUUUAAUUUAUUAGAAUAUGCUUUUCACGCUUCUUUCGACACAUCGUUAUAUAUUAUUAUAUAUUUAAGAUCCUCGCGGAAAUCGCAUCCUGCUGGUCACCGCUUCAACCCCGCGAUUUAAUCCUGACGCACCGCGUCAGGACUCGCCUCUUCCCUCCGUUGUCAUCUCCCAUAUGUUGACGUGUUCCUGACCGCGAUCUCGGGUUUUUCUACGUACCUCUC